rnacentral:lncRNA from 10 species
AUUUUUUGGAAGGAGGGAAUAAAAGAAGGAUGUAAUGUGACUUCUGCACUUCCAGCAUGGGAGAAUGGAUAGAUGAUAAUAUCAUUGUCUAACAGAGAAGGCAGAGAGGAAAAGUAGAUUUGGUGUUGACACUUUGGAUGUAUGGUGUUGUGGGACAAAGGAGACUGUUCAUUAAGCCAUUGGAAAUGUCUACAGUUUAGCCGGAGCCACUCACGUACGGGUCACCAGACUCUAGAUGAUUCUAAUCAUGUGAGCAGAUGGGAUGGCUCUGUGCUGUGAUGCAGAAUGGAAAGAAUGCUGAAGGCAGAGAAGGAUCAAGUUCCAGAAAAAAACAGAGAGGAAAAGAGGGAGCGAGACAGGGAGGAAAGAUAGGAAUGCACUUUGCAGGCUACGUCAGAAAUAAGUGAGUGUGAGAGAAAUGAGGUUUGAAAUGUCAGAGGUAGAAGCCAAUCUGUGGGAAAUUUUUUAAUCAUCGUACACACAUUUUUGUGCAGUUGCUCACGUCUGUAAUCCUAAGCUCUUUGGGAGGCCAAGGUGGGAGGAUCCACAGAGCCUAGGAAUUCAAGGCUGCAGUGAGCUACGGUCAUGCCACUGCACUCCAGCCUGGGCAACAGAGCAAG